UAUUCACUUUUUAUUUUCUACUCAUCAUUUGGUUCUAGCAAAUUUAUACAAUCCUGCAUCACUGAUCACAACUUCAAAGGCAACAACACAAUUAAUUAAGACUCCAUGCAAAAUGAAAUUGCUUAUGAAAAAAGUCUGGCUCAGUACUCGUUAUCAAACAUUGUUAAUGUAAAAUUGUAAAAGCACUGUAUAAUAAUGUACACUAAUGUGCCUCAAUACUUAGUGAUUUUCCUUGUUUUUAACGAUCCAACCACUAGGUCACAAAGUAAAAUUCAUCACAUCUCAAAAUUCACAAUUUAAAUCAAAAUAAUUAAAUAUUCAUCAAAACCUUUCAGAGUAACAUUGCUUUUAGGUUUGGCGCUUUAAUUGGCCAUGUAUGAAAACAUUUUGUUAUGACACAAAUCUGGUUGGAAAUUUGUUUUAAAAGUAGUGAAUAAUGAUUGACAUUAAUUUGCCUCAAACUGUGUAGUUUUCCUUUUACUUUUUAAACUAAAAUGGUCCGCUAUUUUGUGGAGUCAAAAAUUUGCUUCAACAAAAUGAUGGACCGUGUCCAACCGUGUUAGUUCAUAAAGUAAAAGUAAGGUAUAAAUUUGUGAAUAUCCAUUUUAUAACAGCUGCUGUUUUUAGCCCAGAGAACAAAAUCCAAAUGCAAUGUGUCCCUUUAAGCGUGAGUUUAAUUCAACAUUGAAAAACAGGCUCAUUACUGGUUAUAAACAAAUCUUGUUAAAUUUCAACAAUUUAAAUCAAAAUGAUGAAAUAUUCAUCAAACUAUCCCUUUUAGACUUUGCACUUUGGCCAAUGAAAGCCUUUGUUAUGACAAAAAUCUAGUUGUAAAUGUGUUUUACAAGUAUUAUUUGCACCAAUAUGCCUUAAAAACUGUGGUUUUUCUUUCACUUUGUGAGCUAACAUUUUUCAUGUUAGUUCAAGAGAGCAAAGAAACACACAGUUUCUAGAUAUAUUUGUGUCACUCAUUAUUUUCUAAUUUUUAAAUAUAUGUUUAACCAUAUUCAUUUCAUAUCAAGCACAAUAAAGCCAAAAAUAUUUAAGCAUGCGUAGUAAUUCAACAUUGAAAAGUCAGUCUCAAUAUUUGUUAGUAAACCGUGUUAUUUUAAAAUUCAUCAUAUCUCAAAUUUCAUCAAUUAAAAUCACAAUAUAAAAUAUUAAUCAAAAACCUUCUUUAGGAGAGACAUUGCUUUUAGAUUACGCACGUUGAGCUAUGGAAGCAUUCGACAUUACUAAACGAAUCUGGUUGGAAACAUGUUUUAAAAGUAGUGAAUAAAGAUUUACACUAAUUAUAGUGCCUUGAAACUGUGUGGUUUUCCUUUCACUUUGUGAACGAAAAAUAAUGGUCUGCAAUUUGGUUGAGCAAAAAAACUUGGUUUAAAAAAAAAGGCGGUCCAUGUUAUUAGCUCACAAAGUAAAAGUAAAACCGCACAAUUUUGAGCUAUAGUUGUAUGAAUGAUUUUGUUUUACUUUUAAAACAUCUUUCCAACCAUGUUAAUUUUU